GAUGAACGCUGGCGGCGUGCCUAAUACAUGCAAGUCGAGCGAACAGACGAGGAGCUUGCUCCUUUGACGUUAGCGGCGGACGGGUGAGUAACACGUAGGUAACCUACCUAUAAGACUGGGAUAACUUCGGGAAACCGGAGCUAAUACCGGAUAAUAUUUCGAACCGCAGGGUUCGAUAGUGAAAGAUGGCUUUGCUAUCACUUAUAGAUGGACCUGCGCCGUAUUAGCUAGUUGGUAAGGUAACGGCUUACCAAGGCAACGAUACGUAGCCGACCUGAGAGGGUGAUCGGCCACACUGGAACUGAGACACGGUCCAGACUCCUACGGGAGGCAGCAGUAGGGAAUCUUCCGCAAUGGGCGAAGGCCUGACGGAGCAACGCCGCGUGAGUGAUGAAGGUCUUCGGAUCGUAAAACUCUGUUAUUAGGGAAGAACAAACGUGUAAGUAACUGUGCACGUCCUGACGGUACCUAAUCAGAAAGCCACGGCUAACUACGUG
rnacentral:rRNA from 1 species